GAGUUUGAUCCUGGCUCAGAUUGAACGCUGGCGGCAUGCCUUACACAUGCAAGUCGAACGGCAGCACGGGAGCUUGCUCCUGGUGGCGAGUGGCGAACGGGUGAGUAAUGCAUCGGAACGUAUCCUGGAGUGGGGGAUAACGUAGCGAAAGUUACGCUAAUACCGCAUAUUCUGUGAGCAGGAAAGCGGGGGACCUUCGGGCCUCGCGCUCUUGGAGCGGCCGAUGUCGGAUUAGCUAGUUGGUGAGGUGAAGGCUCACCAAGGCGACGAUCCGUAGCAGGUCUGGGAGGAUGAUCUGCCACACUGGAACUGAGACACGGUCCAGACUCCUACGGGAGGCAGCAGUGGGGAAUUUUGGACAAUGGGGGCAACCCUGAUCCAGCCAUGCCGCGUGAGUGAAGAAGGCCUCGGUUGUAA
rnacentral:rRNA from 1 species